GAACUAUUCAAGUUGUAGCUGUGCUCAUAGGCUAGUUGAUAUCCUAUUACUUUUGAAGUUUCCCCUACCAGAAAUAGUAGCCGGUUCGCCAGUUCAGAGAAGCUUCAAAGCCUAAAGCAAAAAAUCCCUGCCCCCCCCCCCCCCCAAUCCAGGAUUAUAGGAUGAUUGUCGUGAUAGGAGAACUGUCCAGUGGUGACUGAGAGAUGGGCUGUGCUGAGAAGCCAAGAAAGAGAGGAACCAAACUGUCUAAAAAUAGGCGUUGUCCAUGACUCGUGACUGACAGCGUUUCCUCCAGGACAGCUGAGCCCCAGUGACCAACAUGGCUGAGGAUGGGUCAGGGAGACAGAGAGUCCCCACAAGGCUUAGGCAGACGCUAUUUUUAAGCCAGUUUACUGAAUUCAUACAUGCUUUCGCAGUGACCUCGUCAGGUGCUUGUGUGAAAUGAAAUGCGAUGGAAGGAGAAAGCUAAGACCGGAAAGAGACGGGACAGACAGAAGUAGGACGUAGAGAACAAAUGAAGAUGGAGUGCAAGCAGAAGAGCAGGACGGGUGGAAUUUCACGGACAGACCAGGCUAAAAAACCUGGCAAAUGGCAGGCGUACAGGUUAAGGCAACUUCUGUAGGAACUGUCAUUAUGGGAUAUUUAAGGGGAAGAAACAAGAGGUCCUAUCCCUAAGGGGAAUCUGGAACUGAUGUAUCUUUUCUCUUGAAGCUGGAAGCCAGAAAACCAGAAUCUCUCUCUUCUCCUAAGAUUUCAACAACUGAAGUAUUGAGCAACCAAUUUCCACCAAAAAGGAGAAUCUUAGGCAUAUGAGUUUUAAGCCCCUGAUUCCACUGCUUCUUUAUCUGUAAAAUGAGUUGAAGAAGGAACCAGCAAACCACUCGAGUAUCUUUGCCAAGAAAACCCCAAAUGAGAUCAUGAAGAAUUGGACACAACUGAGAGAUGAAUGGCCACAUGUCUCCCAAUUUCCCCUUGGCUGAACUGUAAUUUAUUUCUUGACAGGUUAUGUUUCCAUGGUUCACUACUGUUUCCAUCACUGAAACUAUAUUUAUGUUAAAAACAUACUAUUGUUGUUAUUUUUUCUCAAAGAGAAACUAAUGAUAGUUGAAAGGUCCACUGCAAUUUCCCAAAUGUAUUAGUAUUCAUUCUCCUCCUCCUGCUUACUUCUGGGUCCAGUUCAUUGUUCUUCUUCAAUAUGUGUGAAAGAACCAUGUACUUAUGGACUAGCUCCCUGGGCACUCAAUAGCACUAUUCUCACACUCUCACUAGACCUUCUUGACCUUUCUAGACACCUCCCUGCCCCUGGGAGACAUAUAGUGGUUGUAAAUCGGUUUCUGCAUAUCAAUGCUGAAGCAUUUUACAAAUGCUUGCAACAGAAGCAACAUUUAAUAUAGAAUCAAAAGAACAUAUGCCAGUAGAAUCAGGGGCUUAAAGCUCGUAUGCAUAAGAUUCUCCUUGGUAGAAAUUGGUUGCUCAAUGCUUCUCCUUGUGUAAGGUGUGGAGUUGUUGAGAGCUUGGGAAAAGAAAGAGAUUCGGGUUUUCUAGCUUCCACAGGCACGAGGAGUGACUUUCCCAGAUGGAAGGAAAUACUGGUGGGAGAAUACCGGGAUCCUCACUGCAAACUUACACAGCCUGUUCAUGGAUCAUAGCUAGAUCUUAAAACAGGGUAGCAUGACUGGGGAUGCAGACUCUAAGUGAUCACCCUGGUACAAAUAUCAAUAUCAAAAUAGGUCUUGAUCAAUGACACAUGUAAAACCCAGCGGAAUUGUAUGUCAGAUCUGGGAGGAGGUGGGGGCAUAGGAGGGAAAGAACAUGAAUCUUGUAACCAUGGAAAAAGAUUCUAAAUUAAUUAAAUAAACAAAUAUUUCAAAAAUAACAUAAAAUAAAAUAAAUAAAUGAAUGAAUGAAAGAAUGAACAAAUAAAUAAAUAACUGAACAAAUGAAUGAAUAAAUAAAUUAAGAAAGAAGGAAAGAAAGAAAGAAAGGAAGGAAGGAAGGAAGGAAGGAAGGAAGAAAGAAAGAGAGGGAAAGAAAGAAAGAAAGAAAGAAAGAAAGAAAGAAAGAAAGAAAGAAAGAAAGAAAGAAAGAAAGAAAGAAAGAAAGAAAGAAAGAAAGAAAGAAAGAAAGAAAGAAAGAAAGAAAGAAAGAAAGAAAGAAAGAAAGAAAGAAAGAAAGAAAGAAAGAAAGAAAGAAAGAAAGAAAGAAAGGAAAGAAAGAAAGAAAGGAAAGAAAGAGAGAGAGAGAGAGAGAGAGAGAAAGAAAGAAAGAAAGAAAGAAAGAAAGAAAGAAAGAAAGAAAGAAAGAAAGAAAGAAAGAAAGAAAGAAAGAAAGAAAGAAAGGAAGGAAGAAAGAAAGAAAGAAAGAAAGAAAGAAAGAAAGAAAGAAAGAAAGAAAGAAAGAAAGAAAGAAAGAAAGAAAGAAAGAAAGAAAGAAAGAAAGAAAGAAAGAAAGAAAGAAAGAAAGAAAGCAAGCAUAGGGUAGCAUGCAGAUGGAACUUUAGGAUUUGUUAACUCCCAGUCCUCUCUGUCUUAAUUAGCACAAACUGACAGAAAUAAUCAAUUCAGCUUUGUUUUGUAAUCAUACAAUCAGUCUUCAUAAAAUCACUUUUAGUUUUGUUUACUAGAAAACCCAGUUAGUUUUUGAGUAUUUGACAGAGGCCAAUGUCUGGGCAAAGGCUCUAAUAUAUGCCCAAGAGAGAGAUACCCGUUUGUAUACAAGAGUGUGCAUCUUUGUGCACAAGCAAUGUAGAAUACUCGAGCUAUCCAAAACAUCCAGCCUACUUUAGUUGCAUAAAAAAUAUAUUUUCCCCACUAGUUGUGUUUUAAUGAGAACUUAUAUGUGUGUGCAUAUAUGUAUAUGUACAUACAUAUACAUACCAAAAUACUAGGGGGGGGGACCAAGUUGCCUCAGUAAAUUACCUAUUUUUCAGUCCAUUGAGUUAGUCCAUCGAUAUGUAGUUCUUUCACAGAUACUAAAGAGGGACAAUGAAUUGGAAUUGUCCAGAAUCAAAAAGGAGGCAGGUACCAUAUGCCAUGUUUGCCUGAGUCCCUCAGCAAAUCACUUUUCCACUUUGUUGUAUUCUUGUUCUAACCCCUAUAUAUAUCCCCUAUAUAAUAGCCACAGCUACUGAUUACAAUGCUUUCAUUUCCUCAAGAAAGAAGGCAAUGCCACAAGAGGAAAGGAUGCUGGGCUGGCAAGAGGAGGAAGCUGUAUCUUUUAUAGAAUUGGGAAAUCUCUCCAAAGUAUGUAAUACUGGUUUUAGGUACACAUGCAAAAUAGAACCACAAGCUACAGGCUCCUAGGUUAGGUGACAGAGAGACUUUGGAACUUGAAGGUGGAAUGUGCUCUUAUGACCCUCCAGCCAGCAGAAUUUCCCAGAGAUGAAUUUUCUUCUGUGUCUACCAGCACCUGUCACCAUAUUUUAAGCCUCCCAAAGAAAGCUUCCUGUUCUCAGAUAUACAAGAAUUUUAUGAGAUUGGGUCUGCAAAGAAGUCCUCCUACAUUGCAAAGUCACUCGGGUAAUUGGAUGCAUCUUCCUUUUAGGUAUCCUGGCAACAAGCAAUAAAGCAAAGCAACAAGCAUUUAUUAAGUGCCUACUGUAUGCCUAACAUUAUGCUGAGUGCUGGAAAUACAGACACAAAGCAAAAAGACAGUUCUUGUGUUCAAGGAGCUUACAUUUUUAAAGGGGGGAAGACAGCACACAAAGGAGCUGGCUCAAUUACUUCUAAACUUUGGUUUAUACCCUGGAAUUACCCCCUAAUUUCUCCAGGAAUUUUGAAGGUGGAGCCCAGAGCCCUUUCUGAUUCCCAACCCCAGGCUUGUAUUUAGUUGCUUCCCAAAAUUUCGACUGGUCCCUUUUUUUUGUGGAACGGCGAUGCUCUCUCCUCCCCUUCUUCUCCUCCAUAUCUGCAUUGAAGAAGAAUGAGUUUUCUAUUUUUGUGAAUUAAAGUGAUAGAAACUUUAAAUAAGCAAAUAAUUUUUAUGAGGAACAGGCCAGUUCCUUAUUUAAUCUAUUGUUCCCUGACCUCAACAGCUCUGAAAUCAUAGGUCGUGAAUUAUUCUCAACUAGUGAAGAAAGUACUGUAUCUCCCAUGUCUCUGUGCUAUUUCAGACACAGGCACAUGCACCUGCGUAUGAACUCCUUUCUCCUCUCCUCCCAGGAAUAAAUCAGACACUCAAACAGGAGUGUCUUGGUAGAGGGACAAAAAGCCCUUCUAAAUUCUAACCCAAACCAAGACAGAGACCCAAUUUCCCUAAUUGCUCAAUUUUCAUGCUAAUGUAGAUUUGAAAUUGUUGACUACUUGGCUUUCCAUCAUUUCAGUCAUCAUAAACGCAAGGAUCAGAGCCUUUCUCUCUUCUUCCUCUUUCUAUUCCAUCUCUAAAAAGAAAAAUUGUUUAUUUUAAAAGUUUAUUUGUUUCUAUUUACUUUGGAAGUAAAUAGAAAUGCUGAUUUAUGUGGAUUUAUUUUGUAUCCUGUAACUCUGCUGAAAUUAUUAAUUAUUUCCAAUAGAUUUUUAGUUGAUUUUCUCAGGUUCUCUAAGUACACCAUCAUAUCAUCUGCAAAGAGUGAGUGUUUAAUUUCUUCACUGCCUACUUUAAUCCCUUCAAUUUCUUUUUCUUCUCUAAUUGCUACAGCUAACAUUUCUAGUAUAAUAUUAAAUAAUAGAGGUGAUAAUGGGCAUCCUUGCUUCACUCCUGAUCUUAUUGGGAAGGCUCCUAACUUAUCCCCAUUUCAGAUGAUAUUUGCUGAUGGUUUUAAAUAAAUACUGUUUAUCAAUGAUACAUGUAUAACCCAGCAGAACUGCUUAUCAGCUUUGGGAGGGGGGGAGAAAGAGUGAGGCAUGGGAAUCAUGAAUCAUGUAACCAUGGGAAACUAUUUUAAAUUUUAAAAUAAAUACUGUUUAUUAUUGUGAGGAAAGGCCCUUCUAUUCCUA